UUACGGAAGGCAGCAGUAAGGAAUAUUGCACAAUGGGCGAAAGCCUGAUGCAGCAACGCCGCGUGGGCGAUGAAGGCCUUCGGGUCGUAAAGCCCUUUUCUGAGGGAAGAGAGAGGACGGUACCUCAGGAAUAAGUCUCGGCUAACUACGUGCCAGCAGCCGCGGUAACACGUAGGAGACGAGCGUUAUCCGGAUUUAUUGGGCGCAAAGCGCAUGUAGGCGGGUUCUUAAGUCGGGCAUGAAAUCUUUCGGCUUAACCGGGAGGAGUGGUCCGAAACUGGGAGCCUUGAGGGCAGGAGAGGGAAGUGGAAUUCCCGGUGUAGUGGUGGAAUACGUAGAUAUCGGGAGGAACACCAGUGGCGAAGGCGGCUUCCUGGCCUGUGCCUAACGCUGAGAUGCGAAAGCGUGGGGAGCGAACGGGAUUAGAAACCCGAGUAGUCCU
rnacentral:rRNA from 1 species